GAUGAACGCUGGCGGCGUGCCUAAUACAUGCAAGUCGAGCGAACGGACGAGAAGCUUGCUUCUCUGAUGUUAGCGGCGGACGGGUGAGUAACACGUGGAUAACCUACCUAUAAGACUGGGAUAACUUCGGGAAACCGGAGCUAAUACCGGAUAAUAUUUUGAACCGCAUGGUUCAAAAGUGAAAGACGGUCUUGCUGUCACUUAUAGAUGGAUCCGCGCUGCAUUAGCUAGUUGGUAAGGUAACGGCUUACCAAGGCAACGAUGCAUAGCCGACCUGAGAGGGUGAUCGGCCACACUGGAACUGAGACACGGUCCAGACUCCUACGGGAGGCAGCAGUAGGGAAUCUGCCGCAAUGGGCGAAAGCCUGACGGAGCAACGCCGCGGGAGUGAUGAAGGUCUGCGGAUCGUAAAACUCUGUUAUUAGGGAAGAACAUAUGUGUAAGUAACUGUGCACAUCUUGACGGUACCUAAUCAGAAAGCCACGGCUAACUACGU
rnacentral:rRNA from 1 species